rnacentral:rRNA from 1 species
CCAGCAGCCGCGGUAAUACGUAGGUUGCAAGGUGUCCGGAUUUACUGGGUGUAAAGGGCGUGUAGGCGGAGAUGCAAGUUGGGAGUGAAAUCCGGGGCUCAACCCCGGAACUGCUUUCAAAACUGCAUCCCUUGAGUAUCGGAGAGGCAAGGGAAUUCCUAGUGUAGCGGUGAAAUGCGUAGAUAUUAGGAGGAACACCAGUGGCGAAGGCGCUUGCUGGACGACAACUGACGCUGAGGCGCGAAAGCGUGGGGAGCAAACAGGAUUAGAUCCCUGGUAGUCCACGCUGUAAACGAUGAAUACUAGGUGUGGGAGGACUGACCCCUUCCGUCCGCAGUUAACACAAUAAGUAUUCCACCUGGGGAGUACGACCGCAAGGUUGAAACUCAAAGAAUUGACGGGGGCCCGCACAAGCAGUGGAUUAUGUGGUUUAAUUCGACGCAACGCGAAGACCUUACCAGGGUUUGACAUCCAACUAACGAAGUAGAGAUACAUUAGGUGCCCUUCGGGGAAGUUGAGACAGGUGGUGCAUGGUUGUCGUCAGCUCGUGUCGUGAGAUGUUGGGUUAAGUCCGCAACGAGCGCAACCCCUAUUGUUAGUUGCUACGCAAGAGCACUCUAGCGAGACUGCCUUGACAAAACGGAGGAAGGCGGGGACGACGUCAAAUCAUCAUGCCCCUUAUAUCCUGGGCACACACGUAAUACAAUGGUGGUUAACAGAGGGAAGCAAUGGAGCGAUCCGGAGCAAAUCCUAAAAGCCAUCUCAGUUCGGAUUGCAGGCUGCAACUCGCCUGCAUGAAGCUGGAAUUGCUGUAAUCGCGGAUCAGCAUGCCGCGGUGAAUACGUUCCCGGGCCUUGCACUCACCGCCCGU